ensembl:lncRNA
GUACUAGAAAUGCAAACUUGCGUUGUAAUUUGUGUUGUUUCUUCUUUCUGGAACAAUAAGUGACUUUGACUACUACUUCUUCUGUCUUUCUUUAUCUGUCCUCACACAGACCGAUGCUGAGUGCUGCAGCUGCUUCUGCGGGACAGGACGACCCCUAUGUGUCCUGCUCACAGACAGAGCUCCCAUGAGACACAAGGGAGGAUGAAUACUCUCUCCUUGCCCCACACCGUCUCCCUCAGCCCACCCCCAUUUUCUCUCCAUCGCCUGGACUGAGUCUGAGGCUGCCACACGCACCGGCUGCAAUGGUUGUUCGGAGUGUUUUUAGUGCAAUGCUGUGUGGUUGCUGGGAUGUUCUGGUGGCUGUCAAUGGUUCUGGGUGUUUCCUUACUAGCUCAAGCAAAAGUCAAUACAAUUUCUGGUACUUCAUAUGGUUCGGUUAACUCCUUAAAAAUAAGAAUUUGGAAUAUGGAAUUCCUGU